GGCCCAGACUCCUACGGGAGGCAGCAGUGGGGAAUAUUGCACAAUGGGGGAAACCCUGAUGCAGCAACGCCGCGUGAAGGAAGACGGUUUUCGGAUUGUAAACUUCUGUUCUUAGUGAAGAAUAAUGACGGUAGCUAAGGAGCAAGCCACGGCUAACUACGUGCCAGCAGCCGCGGUAAUACGUAGGUGGCAAGCGUUGUCCGGAAUUACUGGGUGUAAAGGGAGCGUAGGCGGGAUGCCAAGUCAGCUGUGAAAACUAUGGGCUUAACCUGUAGACUGCAGUUGAAACUGGUAUUCUUGAGUGAAGUAGAGGUUGGCGGAAUUCCGAGUGUAGCGGUGAAAUGCGUAGAUAUUCGGAGGAACACCGGUGGCGAAGGCGGCCAACUGGGCUUUAACUGACGCUGAGGCUCGAAAGUGUGGGGAGCAAACAGGAUUAGAUACCCUGGUAGUCCACACUGUAAACGAUGAUAACUAGGUGUGGGGGGUCUGACCCCUUCCGUGCCGCAGCUAACGCAAUAAGUUAUCCACCUGGGGAGUACGACCGCAAGGUUGAAACUCAAAGGAAUUGACGGGGACCCGCACAAGCAGUGGAUUAUGUGGUUUAAUUCGAAGCAACGCGAAGAACCUUACCAGCACUUGACAUCCGACUAACGAAGUAGAGAUACAUUAGGUGCCCUUCGGGGAAAGUCGAGACAGGUGGUGCAUGGUUGUCGUCAGCUCGUGUCGUGAGAUGUUGGGUUAAGUCCCGCAACGAGCGCAACCCCUGCCAUUAGUUGCUACGCAAGAGCACUCUAAUGGGACCGCUACCGACAAGGUGGAGGAAGGUGGGGACGACGUCAAAUCAUCAUGCCCCUUAUGUGCUGGGCUACACACGUAAUACAAUGGCCAUCAACAAAGAGAAGCAAUACCGCGAGGUGGAGCAAAACUUCAAAAAUGGUCUCAGUUCGGACUGCAGGCUGCAACCCGCCUGCACGAAGUUGGAAUUGCUAGUAAUCGUGGAUCAGCAUGCCACGGUGAAUACGUUCCCGGGUCUUGUACACACCGCCCGUCACACCAUGGGAGUUGGUAACACCCGAAGUCAGUAGUCUAACCGCAAGGAGGACGCUGCCGAAGGUGGGAUUGACGACUGGGGUGAAGUCGUAACAAGGUAGCCGUAUCAGAAGGUGCGGCUG
rnacentral:rRNA from 1 species